rnacentral:rRNA from 1 species
CCUACGGGGGGCAGCAGUGAGGAAUAUUGGUCAAUGGGAGAGAUCCUGAACCAGCCAAGCCGCGUGAGGGAAGACGGCCCUAUGGGUUGUAAACCUCUUUUGUCGGAGAACAAAACCCGGGACGUGUCCCGGACUGCGUGUAUCCGAAGAAAAAGCAUCGGCUAACUCCGUGCCAGCAGCCGCGGUAAUACGGAGGAUGCGAGCGUUAUCCGGAUUUAUUGGGUUGAAAGGGUGCGUAGGCGGUCCGUUAAGUCAGCGGGAAAAUUGCGGGGCUCAACCCCGUCGAGCCGUUGAAACUGGCAGACUUGAGUGGGCGAGAAGGACGCGGAAUGCGCGGUGUAGCGGUGAAAUGCAUAGAUAUCGUGCAGAACUCCGAUUGCGAAGGCAGCGUACCGGCGCCAGACUGACGCUGAGGCACGAAAGCGUGGGGAUCGAACAGGAUUAGAUACCCGUGUAGUC